UACGUAGGGGGCAAGCGUUAUCCGGAUUUACUGGGUGUAAAGGGGGCGCAGACGGCCAUGGCAAGCCCGGUGUGAAAGGCAGGGGCAUAACCCCUGGACUGCACUGGGAACUGUCAGGCUGGAGUGCCGGAGGGGUAAGCGGAAUUCCUGGUGUAGCGGUGAAAUGCGUAGAUAUCAGGAGGAACACCGGCGGCGAAGGCGGCUUACUGGACGGCAACUGACGUUGAGGCCCGAAAGCGUGGGAGCGAACAGG
rnacentral:rRNA from 1 species